GCUGGGUGUGGUGGCGCACGCCUGUAAUCCCAGCAGCUCUGGAGGCUGAGACAGGAGCAUCUCGAAUUCAAAACCAGCCUCAGCAAAAGCAAGAUGCUAAGCAACUCAGUGAGACCCUAUCUCUA
rnacentral:sRNA from 1 species